GAUGAACGCUGGCGGCGUGCCUAAUACAUGCAAGUCGAGCGAACAGACGAGGAGCUUGCUCCUUUGACGUUAGCGGCGGACGGGUGAGUAACACGUGGGUAACCUACCUAUAAGACUGGGAUAACUUCGGGAAACCGGAGCUAAUACCGGAUAAUAUAUCGAACCGCAUGGUUCGAUAGUGAAAGAUGGCUCUGCUAUCACUUAUAGAUGGACCUGCGCCGCAUUAGCUAGUUGGUAAGGUAACGGCUUACCAAGGCAACGAUACGUAGCCGACCUGAGAGGGUGAUCGGCCACACGGGAACUGAGACACGGUCCAGACUCCUACGGGAGGCAGCAGUAGGGAAUCUUCCGCAAUGGGCGAAAGCCUGACGGAGCAACGCCGCGUGAGUGAUGAAGGUCUUCGGAUCGUAAAACUCUGUUAUUAGGGAAGAACAAAUGUGUAAGUAACUGUGCACGUCUUGACGGUACCUAAUCAGAAAGCCACGGCUAACUACGUG
rnacentral:rRNA from 1 species